rnacentral:misc_RNA from 1 species
AAGUCGUAACAAGGUCUCCGUAGGUGAACCUGCGGAGGGAUCAUCAUAGGAAAGAUAUCUUGAAUGAGUUUUCUCACUCACUCACCAAGUUGCGGGGAGUGUGUGUGUGUGUGGGGGGGAGUCCAAGUUUUUGGGGGUUUGCAUACUCUGCAAUACUUUCUGGGAGUCUUGGCUUUUUUCCUCACACGCGCUUCCUGCAGCUUCAUCCAAACGAUCACAACAAUAAUUAUCAGAGAAAUUUGACUUGGUGUGAAUGUGAAUGUGAAUGCGGUGCCGUUUUAUAUAAAAAGUGUUUGCCUGACAGAUGAUAAUUCUCUCAAUGCCAUUGAUUUGUGGUGGUUGGGUUGGAAAAUAAUCAAUAUACAACUUUCAACAACGGAUCUCUUGGCUCUCA